ACGGAAGGCAGCAGUGGGGAAUAUUGCACAAUGGGCGAAAGCCUGAUGCAGCGACGCCGCGUGAGUGAAGAAGUAUCUCGGUAUGUAAAGCUCUAUCAGCAGGGAAGAAAAUGACGGUACCUGACUAAGAAGCCCCGGCUAACUACGUGCCAGCAGCCGCGGUAAUACGUAGGGGGCAAGCGUUAUCCGGAUUUACUGGGUGUAAAGGGAGCGUAGACGGUUUGGCAAGUCUGAAGUGAAAUGCGGGGGCUCAACUCCUGAACUGCUUUGGAAACUGUCGAACUAGAGUGCAGAAGAGGUAAGUGGAAUUCCUAGUGUAGCGGUGAAAUGCGUAGAUAUUAGGAGGAACACCAGUGGCGAAGGCGGCUUACUGGACUGUAACUGACGUUGAGGCUCGAAAGCGUGGGGAGCAAACAGGAUUAGAUACCCUGGUA
rnacentral:rRNA from 1 species